GAUGAACGCUGGCGGCGUGCUUAACACAUGCAAGUCGAACGGUGAAGGCUGAGCUUGCUCUGCUGGAUCAGUGGCGAACGGGUGAGUAACACGUGAGCAAUCUGCCCCUGACUCUGGGAUAAGCGCUGGAAACGGCGUCUAAUACUGGAUACGAGCUGCGAAGGCAUCUUCAGCAGCUGGAAAGAAUUUCGGUCAGGGAUGAGCUCGCGGCCUAUCAGCUUGUUGGUGAGGUAAUGGCUCACCAAGGCGUCGACGGGUAGCCGGCCUGAGAGGGUGACCGGCCACACUGGGACUGAGACACGGCCCAGACUCCUACGGGAGGCAGCAGUGGGGAAUAUUGCACAAUGGGCGAAAGCCUGAUGCAGCAACGCCGCGUGAGGGACGACGGCCUUCGGGUUGUAAACCUCUUUUAGCAGGGAAGAAGCGAAAGUGACGGUACCUGCAGAAAAAGCGCCGGCUAGCUACGUG
rnacentral:rRNA from 1 species